rnacentral:lncRNA from 1 species
UGAUGGCCAUUUUGUGUCCUGUGUGUACACUGCUCUCCGCCCUCAUCUCUUCCAGCUGUGCAAAGUGCUUCUUCCUCAAAAAUGAGCCAAACACUAAGAGAAAACACAGAGAAAAACAGGAUGGAGACCUGUGCUAUGCUACGCUGGAUAUACCCACAGGAGGACACAAACCCAGACGGAAGAAAAAAAGACAGCAAAAUAAUGACUUUAGUAUCUACUCAGACAUAAGAACUGAUAUAGAGUUACAAUAAUAUGAUGAGUAUAUGCCAAUUAGAGACCAAGAAUAUGAUGAAUAUAUGCCAGUUAGAGACCAAGAAUAUGAUGAGUAUAUGCCAAUUAGAGACCAAUAAUAUGAUGAAUAUAUGCCAAUUAGAGACCAAGUUAGUUACAGCCAUAUGAGGUGUAGUUACAAUGUUGCAGUUGCCGCAAACUGUAAACUUGAUAACAAAUAUUGUUGCACACAAAUACACAUACAAAACACAAACAUGCUCUCAGUCAAACUCCAUUUUAAAAUGUGAAAACUCCACUCCACUAGCUUAUGUGCAUUAUAUUACUCAGUUCAUUGAUUUUGCUCAUCCUGAAGCGAUUUUUACGAAGGUUUUAAGCUCAGAUCAGACGUUUUUAUGAAUAUGAACUUGUCUUAAAAUAAAAAAUUAAAUAUAUAUAAGUCGGCUUUGUGU